CAGCUCUUAAAGGCGGCAUGUCCGGAGUUUGUUCCUUCUGAUGUUCGGAUGUGUUCGGAGUCUUCCUUCUGGUGGGUUCGCGGUCCGGCUGGCUCAGGAGCGAAGCUGCAGACCUUCACGGUAAUCCCCUUCAGUGACAGCAGAGUGACCCAGGCCACCUUCUUUGAGGAUUUCGGAGCUGCAGCCCACAGCCAGGGCCAUGGUGGACUCAGCUCUACACCCCGUGCCCAUGAGUCUCUGCGACUAACGAUUUCCCCAGACGCUCCCAGGUUCCUCCUGAUCUGCAGCAUUGCCGUCCCUGCCGCUGACCAGGAAGCCCUCUGUGCUCCCAUAGCCCCUUCAGAAACAUGUGACCUCCUGAGUCCUAAGUCUUCAGCAGAAACAGCAGCUGCCCCAUAGCUCGAGUGGCAGCAGGACCCUCUCUGCCCUGGUCUCCACUCAGUGCUGGAAGCCUGGCUCACAUUCUCUCUACUCCCAUCAGCCUGAUAUCUUCAAGCAAGGAUUUCUUGGGGUUUAUCUCACCAGAUGCAAUCAACUCAAAUUCCCUCUGUGGUGCCUUCUCAUU
rnacentral:lncRNA from 1 species